rnacentral:rRNA from 1 species
GCAAGUCGAACGCGAAAGAUUUCCUUCGGGAGAUUAAGUAGAGUGGCGGACGGGUGAGUAACGCGUAGGUAUCUGCCUUUAAGUGGGGGAUAGCCCGAAGAAAUUCGGAUUAAUACCGCAUGUGGAACUUCGGUUCUAAAGAUGGCCUCUGUUUCAAGCUAUCGCUUAGAGAUGAGCCUGCGUCCUAUUAGCUAGUUGGUAAGGUAAUGGCUUACCAAGGCGAUGAUAGGUAGGCGGCUUUAACGAGUGGUC